rnacentral:lncRNA from 1 species
CCAUCUAAUCGGGACUCAUGAUAGAGGGACUGAAUCACAUGUUAACUACACCUAGAGGUUCAUUUUAGUUCUACUGGAUUGCCACUAUAUACUGUUAGGUGUCACUGGGAGAUUGUAAGAGCUCACUAGGAUUGUUUUAGAUCAACAAUCCUUGAUUCAGUUAGAGUGAAAUUAUUUCGACCCAUUGAAAAGAGUUUCAAUGAUAUAAUGAAAGAGAUCAUUGUAUAUCUCACUACCAGAUAGAAUUGAAUCUAUGAGAUCACACAACAAAGGGAUU